CUUGCUCUGAUCCAGCAGCUGCUAGUCUCAAGAUGGUGAACCACCACUUCCACUCCUGCUGUCCUGUGUGCUCAAGUUCCUCCAGAGAGAAGGUUUCUGAGAGCCAUGAGGUCAGGGGAAACCCCACUCAGGCUGAGGGGAAACCCCACCUCGGGGCUUCCACUGAGUCAGGCUUUUAUUUAUUUAUUUUGUGUGCAUGAGGUAAGUUUCAUGUAGGUCCUCCUGAAAGCAGAGGGUAUAUACACUACUGAAGGAAAAUGUUUUUUCAAAGCUCCCAAAGCACUCCCUCUUUCCUGUGUAAGUGGUAGAAGAACGUGGCAAAGAAAAGAGGUAGAAAAGGACAGCCUUUUAACAACAAGGGCAGAGACUCAUUCCAGACAAGCGAGAACUAGGCACUCCUGUCAUCCAGUCUGCACCAGAGAGUCCCUGGCAUAGAUGAAAAAUGCAAAGGAUUUACCCCACUCCUAUUUUUUUUUCUUUUUAGUUUAACCCAAAUACUGCAAACCAUUAUUUUCCCAUCAAAUAACAAAGCAACCAAAUCCAUACUCAACAGUCCUAUCCUAAUACACCCAUAGCAUGAGCAGAGCCUGCGAAAAUUCAGUUGAAACCAAGUGAUCUCUACUAUAUAUACAUAAGAAUUAAGCUACUAGCAACAGCACUGAACACACUCAGUUCCCAUUGGUGGUUAAUACAGAAGAUUCAUACUUACCCUUUACAGUCAGAAACUUAAUAAUCAUCAGAAACUUUAGAAUAAUUCAGAGCAGGUGUUAAUGGAAUCAAAGAUCACCCAGAACCCAUUACCCAUGAAAAACAGAACACAGGCAAGGGCAGAAAUCUGAGAAGAACAAAGUUGGUCUCUGAGGAGGCAACACGAGUUCAAUUUAGUUUGCAAGACUAUUUCCUGCUGGCCUGAUUUCCAGAAAAGUAGAGCACUUAUAAAUCCUGCUGCGCUAUCAGAACAGGAGACUAGCAAGACAGCGGCCAGAUGAACAUCCUGGGGUAUCUUACAUUACUCAGGACACUUACCUUUCUGAACCUUGUCACAGAGAAGGUAAAUCUCUUCCCCUCCUGUUACACACCCUGCUGUUCUGUCCAUUCUUACAAUUUUUAAGUUGGAAGCAUUGGGUGCUUCUAUCAAAAGGAAAAGAUUUUAAAAAACAAUUAUUUUCAUAACAAUUUUAGAUUACAAAAAAAUAAAAAUACAGAAAUGCAAUAAAAGACAAGCCCCCAGUACAGACUACAUAAAUUUGUCUAAGUUUUUUAAAAGAAUGAAUCAAUGAUUUUUCAUCUGAAAAUCCUUUAGGUAACCUCUAGGCUUUGACUAAACUGCGAACUAUAAAAUAAGGCUCUGGCCAUUCCAGCAAAUUACCUCAUUAAAAUAAUAGAGUGGUGAACUGCAUCCUGCAUUAACAGUAACUUCAUAAGAGGAGUGCAUUAUAAGUGAACAUAUUUUCCUUCCUAUUUUCUUGGUGACAGGGCAGUGUUGAAAGCAGUUACCUUUAUGUCAUUAGUUUAAUGUAACAUGCAAAGCUUGCUCUGCUCUCUGGCUUACUGGAAAGCAACUUCAGUUCUGGACCAACACAUCACACUGAUCAAAAAGCUCACCUCUAAAGAUUUAGCAGAGGCAUCAAUGGAUUACCUACUGGUCCUUGAUACAACUAUCACCUGAUAAUUAAAAGCAACUGUCAUAGACGAUUGUGCUACAAGUCGUGUCUGCUCUGUGGAAGGGACAUGAAUGGUUCAACAAAGGACAUAACGAAAAAACAACAGCCCCUAGAAAAAUAUUUUGGAAUCAAACAUGAAUUCACCCACUACAUCAGGCUACCCAGUGCCCCAACCAACCUGGCCUUGAAAACCUCCAGAGACAAGGCAUCCACAAGUUCUCUGGCCAACUUGUAACAGUGCCUCCCCACACUCUGAGUAAACAAUUUUCUCCUAGCAACCAAUAUAGAUCUCUCUUUUAGUUCAAAACCAUUCCACCCUGUCCUGUCACCAUCAGAUCAUAUAACGUCACCCUCCAUCUUUUGCUAUUCUGCCUCUGUUGUUUCUUUGCCCUUCUCUUCCUCUUUGCUUUAGCAAUACUCUUUAUCAUCACGCACUUUAGACUAAGAUAACAAAUGGAAUCUGCCAUGGUUAUUACCAAAGAUCAAUAUUCCUUAAAUACACUAUUAGUUAAAUCACUUCAGCUUGCAGAUGAAAAGACCAUUUUCUCAUUCAGAAAACAAGGGACAUGUAUGCUACAAGAAUAACAGACAUAUGGGCACUACAUUCUCCAACUGACAGCAAGCAACAGACUACAGCAGCUUUAGAACAGCUGCAUUUAACACCUUCUCAUUUAAACUUAGUCCUUAGAAAGUGAUGACGUACAUAUGACUGUUGCACCAAGAAAAAAAGGUACUUUUUCUGACUCAUUACAGAAUAAUUACCAGGAACAUGGCGACCCACAGCUACGAGGAAAUCUCAAGCAGCAGAAAGGGUUCAGGUUGUGAAAAGGAUGGACUCUGCCUCUAAUGAAAUUUGAAUGUCUAGCACCAGUGAUAAAGAAAAGGCCAGCCCCUCGAUACAGCUCCUGAAAGCAAUACAGACCCGAACUUUAACAGGGAUGUGGGUGGAGUGCAGAUGAAUGAAGAAAGCAGGUUUUAGCAAAGGUGAAACACUGAUCAGAACUGUGACCAAAAUCGAUUCUCUCCCUCUUGGCUAAACGUAACAAAUACAUUUGACAGACUUACCCAACAACCAUGUCUUUCGGUCCUGCAUUGACUGUGCACACUCCAUCUUCACAAAAUUUACCCACCAAGCUGUGAGCGUAUGGACCUUCCUAAGAGAUUUUGUGACAUCCAGCUCAUCUGCACCCAGAAAAACAGCCCCAGUGGUUAACCAUCCUUAUGUAACCUAAAACAAGCCUGAAAUCAUUUUGGGGUAUCCUUGAAUCAUCGACAACAUCACAAUUGCUGAAUAACCCAAAAUGUAUUCUGGUAUUAAUAUAUACAAAUAACUGCCACCUUUUACUUCACAUAGAAAAUGCAGUCAAAGGUGCUAGAAGGUAGACAGCAUAUCACAAUACUGGAUAUACGUACAGGAAUACAAAGAUUAUGGCAUUGACAGAAAAAAACUAUUUGCAAUACAAGAUGGAGACAGCAGUUGGGUGCUCUACUGCUCCAAAGCAGAUCUGCGAACUCAAAAACAACAGUAACUGAACAUCAAAUUGAAGACAAGGGAGAAAAAAGAAAAUAAGGAGUUCCUGGGAAGAAGCAUAGUUGUAAUACUUGAUUACAUCCUGCACUGAAGCAGCAUUCAAUUGAUCUAAUCUGAUAAAGUUAAAAUGCUGCAGGCUCACAGUUAUCGGCUGUUCCUGUUUGGGAGAGAUUUGCCUGAGAGAUUAAAAGGACUCUGUGAACUUGAAAUUUACUCAAUUUCAAAAUGAAAGUUGAAUUUUUUUUUUCAGUUAUUCCACAUCUUUUUGAGAUCCAAUCCCCUACAUUUUUUUUAAUACAUCCUACAACUUUACAAAAACUUCAUAAGAUUCAAGUAGAAAGAUGUU